AACGCACGAGACCUGCGGACCUGCGGAAGGAUCAUUAAUGAGAAGCUGCCCCUCGUGGGUAGACCUCCCACCCUCUGUGAACUUACCUUUGUUGCUUUGGCAGGCCCGUCCUCUGGACCGCCGGCUUCGGCUGGCCCGUGCCUGCCAGAGGAUUCCAAACCCUGUCUGUCAGUGUUGUCUGAGUCUAUAUGAAAUCGUUAAAACUUUCAACAAUGGAUCUCUAGAUCGGAAGAGCACACG
rnacentral:misc_RNA from 1 species